rnacentral:rRNA from 1 species
AAUUUUGUACAAUGGGGGAAACCCUGAUCCAGCCAUCCCGCGUGUAUGAUGAAGGCCUUCGGGUUGUAAAGUACUCUUGGCAGAGAAGAAAAGGUACCUCCUAAUACGAGGUACUGCUGACGGUAUCUGCAGAAUAAGCACCGGCUAACUACGUGCCAGCAUCCGCGGUAAUACGUAGGGUGCAAGCGUUAAUCGGAAUUACUGGGCUUAAAGCGGGUGUAGGCGGUUCGGAAAGAAAGAUGUGAAGUCCCAGGGCACAACCGUGGAUCUGCAUUGUUAACUGCCGAGCUAGAGUAUGUCAGAGGGGGGUAGAAUUCCACGUGUAGCAGUGAAAUGCGUAGAUAUGUGGAGGAAUACCGAUGGCGAAGGCAGCCCCCUGGGAUAAUACUGACGCUCAGACACGAAAGCGUGGGGAGCAAACAG